rnacentral:rRNA from 1 species
UACGUAGGGUGCAAGCGUUGUCCGGAAUUAUUGGGCGUAAAGAGCUCGUAGGCGGUCUGUCACGUCGGCUGUGAAAACCCGAGGCUCAACCUCGGGCCUGCAGUCGAUACGGGCAAACUAGAGUACUGCAGGGGAGACUGGAAUUCCUGGUGUAGCGGUGAAGUGCGCAGAUAUCAGGAGGAACACCGGUGGCGAAGGCGGGUCUCUGGGCAGUAACUGACGCUGAGGAGCGAAAGCGUGGGGAGCGAACAGG